rnacentral:misc_RNA from 1 species
GGGAGCUCUACCCUCGUAACCAAGUGCGAUAUCGGCGAUAGCCUGGAAGAGUUUUUGACCAAGGCAACUCCAGAUAAGAACCUGAUUAGAUUGCUGGUGUGCAUGGGGGAGGCACUGAGGACCAUCUCGUUCAAGGUGAGGACUGCGUCUUGUGGAGGGACUGCCUGUGUGAACACCUUCGGCGAUGAGCAACUCGCAGUCGAUAUGCUUGCUGAUAAGCUCCUUUUUGAGGCUUUGACGUACUCCCAUGUCUGCAAGUAUGCUUGCUCUGAAGAAGUCCCUGAGCUUCAAGACAUGGGUGGACCAGUGGAAGGCGGUUUCAGUGUGGCCUUUGAUCCCCUCGAUGGUUCGAGCAUUGUCGACACCAACUUUACAGUCGGUACAAUCUUUGGCGUCUGGCCUGGAGACAAACUGACCGGCAUAACCGGAAGAGGUCAAGUUGCUGCUGGUAUGGGAAUAUACGGGCCUCGAACUACUUACGUUAUCGCCCUUAAAGAUGCUCCCGGCACUCAUGAAUUUCUUCUUCUGGAUGAAGGCAAGUGGCAGCAUGUAAAG